GACGAACGCUGGCGGCGUGCUUAACACAUGCAAGUCGAACGGAAAGGCCCUGCUUUUGUGGGGUGCUCGAGUGGCGAACGGGUGAGUAACACGUGAGUAACCUGCCCUUGACUUUGGGAUAACUUCAGGAAACUGGGGCUAAUACCGGAUAGGAGCUCCUGCUGCAUGGUGGGGGUUGGAAAGUUUCGGCGGUUGGGGAUGGACUCGCGGCUUAUCAGCUUGUUGGUGGGGUAGUGGCUUACCAAGGCUUUGAUGGGUAGCCGGCCUGAGAGGGUGACCGGCCACAUGGGGACUGAGAUACGGCCCAGACUCCUACGGGAGGCAGCAGUGGGGAAUAUUGCACAAUGGGCGGAAGCCUGAUGCAGCAACGCCGCGUGCGGGAUGACGGCCUUCGGGUUGUAAACCGCUUUCGCCUGUGACGAAGCGUGAGUGACGGUAAUGGGUAAAGAAGCACCGGCUAACUACGUG
rnacentral:rRNA from 1 species